UUCCAUUUCAGCGUCAUCUCUCUAACCUGGCUAACACAGACUGCUGCUGAAGCCAUGUUUGCGACAUCAAACACUUAGCAUUUUCAGCUAACGUUUAGCUAAAAAAAACGCUAAAUAAAAUGCAUUAAUUAAGCCUAAAGUACGUGAAAUAAACAGAACCCAAAAGUAGUGUAUGCAUGAAUAAAGUAUUUUAAAAUACUUAAACAUUAUUAAGGGAAUAAUGAAUCAAAUAAAUAUUUUAUAAUACUGUGAAUGUGGGCCUGUACGUACGUGCUGUGGACGUUAAUUACGGAACGACGUUAGCAUUCGAUGGUUGCUAUAGAUUCCGCACACAUAUAAAUGCACUGGAUGACCCCACUGUCGUCACCAUUUCACUCGUGAAAUUGGAGAGAGACGCUCGCUGAGACAGCUGAGAGAAUUUUUUGGAAAGCGACAAUUUGCUAGCUAGUAGCUACAACAACCACCGAAGGACGGGGACCGACAACGGACCCGCGACUGACUCCAGUUCAGUUGUUGCACUGCUUCCCCAUGGACGACGUCCGGCGAACACGGAGGAGGAGGAGGAGGAGGAGGAGGAGGAGGGAACGGAGGCAGCCUCAGGUGAGACACCGCAGACCGCGUGAGGGCAUCCCGGAUCUGGGCAUUGUUGUGGACAUGGCGGCCGACGGUCCCAUCGUGCACAUCCCCACCUGGGUUCCACCUGCUGUUGCUGCAGAGGUAUUGUUUGCAAAAGUGUUGGCAUGGUCGAACUAUCGUUUAUACGGUGUGGCAAUGUGAGAAGGCUCACAUGUAAAGGGCCGAGCAUAGCUGGUCCAUCAGGUGAAGUAUACUUAUGAUAAGUGUAGAAUAUUGAGUAAGUCAUUUUAGGUCUCUUAUAUUGUAUUAUUAAACAUUUGUCUUAGGAUGUCUAGCAGUAACGGUAAGUCUUACAACUCUUCUACAACUACAACUUUUCUUUCUAUGUUCAACAACCACAUUAAAAAUAUUUUUUAUUUCAAACACACUGUAAUUGAAGCACAGGGCUUCAGGUGGGACUUCAGGAAAUGUUCCAUUGAAAUCUAAUUCUUCCAGUCUCAUUGUUAUCAAUGUCUAAUUUAUUUGUAAUUAAAUUCACUCAUGAAAACAUGAUAUGAAUUUCCAUAAAAUAUGAAUCAGUGUUUAAAUAAAUGUCUUAACAGAAAGAACAUAUCUGGAUGGAACAUUGACAAAGAAUCAGAAUCAGAAUCAGAAUCAGAAUCAGAAUUCCUUUGUUUAUCCCUGGAGGGAAAUUCUUGAAAGGGUUCGGGUCAGGGUGGGUUAGACCUCCUGAAGCCCUUUGCUUCUGUUACUUUUUGACUGUUGAAGUCUUCCAUACCUUUUUUCUUUCCACACUUAAUUAACAAAAUUUUCUGAAAGGAAAAGUCAGGUGAUAUUAUACAAACAUUUGUACACAGAACUUGUUCUCAGCUAAUACCUUUACAAUUAGUUAAAUUCUUAAUAGUAAUUAAUGAAUAAAUGGUGAAUCAUUAACACCACAGUCAGAAAGUAUAGGAAGAUACCAUAAGCAUUGUUGCUGUUGGUCUUUUCAUUAGAUUUGUUUCUAAUAAUUAAAUAUAUAAUAUCACCAGACUCAUCCUCUCAAAUAUAAAGCAAAGAGUGUUAAAGAAGGAACGGACUUCAGGAGGGUCUUUUGGCAAUGUUUAAAUCCUUAUUUUCUUAUUAUUAAUGUCAGGCUUCCUCUGUCAUUAUUAAUAGAGGUUAAUGGAAAUGUAAAACUGAUAGACUGAAAACUAAUUGACAGUUCACAAUGAGAAACUAAUAGCUGGAUGGAGCAUUGCCAAAGGGUUCGGGUCAGGGUGGGUUAGACCCUGCUGAAGCCCUUUGCUUCUUUUACUUUUUGACUGUGGAAGUUCAUUUAAGAACUUUUAAAUUCAACAGAAGUCUUAGGAUGCCUUGUGCAGUAGUAAUGAUAAGUCUUCCAAAUCUUUUUUCUUCCACACUUAACUUACUGAACUUUCUGAAAGGAAAAGUCAGGUGAUAUUAUACAAACCUUUGUACACAGAACAUGUUCUCAGCUAAUAACUUUAUAAUUAGUUAAAUUCUUAAUGGUAAUUAAUGAUUGAUUAAUGAAUGAUUAAUGAUUCACUUGAAAAAUGGUGAAUCAUUAAUACCACAGUCAGAAAGUAUAGGAAGAUACCAUAAGCAUUGUUGCUGUUGGUCUUUUCAUUAGAUUUGUUUCUAAUAAUAAAAUAUAUAAUAUCACCAGACUCAUCCUCUCAAAUAAAAAGCAAAGAGUGUUAAAGAAGGAAUGGAGUUCAGGAGGGUCUUUUGGCAAUGUUCAAAUCCUUAUUUUCUUAUUAUUAAUGUCAGGCUUCCUCUGUCAUUAUUAAUAUAGGUUAAUGGAAAUGUAAAACUGAUAGACUGAAAACUAAUUGACAGUUCACAAUGAGAAACUAAUAGCUGGAUGGAGCAUUGCCAAAGGGUUCGGGUCAGGGUGGGUUAGACCCUGCUGAAGCCCUUUGCUUCUGUUACUUUUUGACUGUUGAAGUUCAUUUAAGAACUUUUAAAUUCAACAGAAGUCUUAGGAUGUCUUGUGCAGUAGUAAUGAUAAGUCUUCUAUAUGUUUUUACUUCCACACUUAACUUACUAAACUUUCUGAAAGGAAAAGUCAGGUGAUAUUAUGCAAACAUUUGUACACAGAACCUGUUCUCAGCUAAUAACUUUAUAAUUAGUUAAAUUCUUAAUGUUAAUUAAUGAUUGAUUAAUGAAUGAUUAAUGAUUCACUUGAAAAAUGGUGAAUCAUUAACACCACAGUCAGAAAGUAUAGGAAGAUACCAUAAGCAUUGUUGCUGUUGGUCUUUUCAUUAGAAUUGUUUCUAAUAAUAAAAUAUAUAAUAUCACCAGACUCAUCCUCUCAAAUAUAAAGCAAAGAGUGUUAAAGAAGGAACGGACUUCAGGAGGGUCUUUUGGCAAUGUUCAAAUCCUUAUUUUCUUAUUAUUAAUGUCAGGCUUCCUCUGUCAUUAUUAAUAGAGGUUAAUGGAAAUGUAAAACUGAUAGAUUGAAAACUAAUUGACAGUUCACAAUGAGAAACUAAUAGCUGGAUGGAGCAUUGCCAAAGGGUUCGGGUCAGGGUGGGUUAGACCCUGCUGAAGCCCUUUGCUUCUGUUACUUUUUGACUGUUGAAGUUCAUUUAAGAACUUUUAAAUUCAACAGAAGUCUUAGGAUGCCCUGUGCAGUAGUAAUGAUAAGUCUUCCAUAUGUUUUUACUUCCACACUUAACUUACUAAACUUUCUGAAAGGAAAAGUCAGGUGAUAUUAUGCAAACAUUUGUACACAGAACUUGUUCUCAGCUAAUAACUUUAUAAUUAGUUAAAUUCUUAAUGGUAAUUAAUGAAUAAAUGGUGAAUCAUUAACACCACAGUCAGAAGGUAUAGGAAGAUACCAUAAGCAUUGUUGCUGUUGGUCUUUUCAUUAGAUUUGUUUCUAAUAAUAAAAUAUAUAAUAUCACCAGACUCAUCCUCUCAAAUAAAAAGCAAAGAGUGUUAAAGAAGGAAUGGAGUUCAGGAGGGUCUUUUGGCAAUGUUCAAAUCCUUAUUUUCUUAUUAUUAAUGUCAGGCUUCCUCUGUCAUUAUUAAUAUAGGUUAAUGGAAAUGUAAAACUGAUAGACUGAAAACUAAUUGACAGUUCACAAUGAGAAACUAAUAGCUGGAUGGAGCAUUGCCAAAGGGUUCGGGUCAGGGUGGGUUAGACCCUGCUGAAGCCCUUUGCUUCUGUUACUUUUUGACUGUUGAAGUUCAUUUAAGAACUUUUAAAUUCAACAGAAGUCUUAGGAUGUCUUGUGCAGUAGUAAUGAUAAGUCUUCUAUAUGUUUUUACUUCCACACUUAACUUACUAAACUUUCUGAAAGGAAAAGUCAGGUGAUAUUAUGCAAACAUUUGUACACAGAACCUGUUCUCAGCUAAUAACUUUAUAAUUAGUUAAAUUCUUAAUGUUAAUUAAUGAUUGAUUAAUGAAUGAUUAAUGAUUCACUUGAAAAAUGGUGAAUCAUUAACACCACAGUCAGAAAGUAUAGGAAGAUACCAUAAGCAUUGUUGCUGUUGGUCUUUUCAUUAGAUUUGUUUCUAAUAAUAAAAUAUAUAAUAUCACCAGACUCAUCCUCUCAAAUAAAAAGCAAAGAGUGUUAAAGAAGGAACGGACUUCAGGAGGGUCUUUUGGCAAUGUUCAAAUCCUUAUUUUCUUAUUAUUAAUGUCAGGCUUCCUCUGUCAUUAUUAAUAGAGGUUAAUGAAAAUGUAAAACUGAUAGACUGAAAACUAAUUGACAGUUCACAAUGAGAAACUAAUAGCUGGAUGGAGCAUUGCCAAAGGGUUCGGGUCAGGGUGGGUUAGACCCUGCUGAAGCCCUUUGCUUCUGUUACUUUUUGACUGUUGAAGUUCAUUUAAGAACUUUUAAAUUCAACAGAAGUCUUAGGAUGUCUUGUGCAGUAGUAAUGAUAAGUCUUCUAUAUGUUUUUACUUCCACACUUAACUUACUAAACUUUCUGAAAGGAAAAGUCAGGUGAUAUUAUGCAAACAUUUGUACACAGAACUUGUUCUCAGCUAAUUCCUUUAUAAUUAGUUAAAUUCUUAAUGGUAAUUAAUGAUUGAUUAAGGAAUGAUUAAUGAUUCACUUGAAAAAUGGUGAAUCAUUAACACCACAGUCAGAAAGUAUAGGAAGAUACCAUAAGCAUUGUUGCUGUUGGUCUUUUCAUUAGAAUUGUUUCUAAUAAUAAAAUAUAUAAUAUCACCAGACUCAUCCUCUCAAAUAUAAAGCAAAGAGUGUUAAAGAAGGAACGGACUUCAGGAGGGUCUUUUGGCAAUGUUCAAAUCCUUAUUUUCUUAUUAUUAAUGUCAGGCUUCCUCUGUCAUUAUUAAUAGAGGUUAAUGGAAAUGUAAAACUGAUAGAUUGAAAACUAAUUGACAGUUCACAAUGAGAAACUAAUAGCUGGAUGGAGCAUUGCCAAAGGGUUCGGGUCAGGGUGGGUUAGACCCUGCUGAAGCCCUUUGCUUCUGUUACUUUUUGACUGUUGAAGUUCAUUUAAGAACUUUUAAAUUCAACAGAAGUCUUAGGAUGUCUUGUGCAGUAGUAAUGAUAAGUCUUCUAUAUGUUUUUACUUCCACACUUAACUUACUAAACUUUCUGAAAGGAAAAGUCAGGUGAUAUUAUGCAAACAUUUGUACACAGAACUUGUUCUCAGCUAAUUCCUUUAUAAUUAGUUAAAUUCUUAAUGGUAAUUAAUGAUUGAUUAAGGAAUGAUUAAUGAUUCACUUGAAAAAUGGUGAAUCAUUAAUACCACAAUCAGAAAGUAUAGGAAGAUACCAUAAGCAUUGUUGCUGUUGGUCUUUUCAUUAGAUUUGUUUCUAAUAAUAAAAUAUAUAAUAUCACCAGACUCAUCCUCUCAAAUAUAAAGCAAAGAGUGUUAAAGAAGGAACGGACUUCAGGAGGGUCUUUUGGCAAUGUUCAAAUCCUUAUUUUCUUAUUAUUAAUGUCAGGCUUCCUCUGUCAUUAUUAAUAGAGGUUAAUGGAAAUGUAAAACUGAUAGACUGAAAACUAAUUGACAGUUCACAAUGAGAAACUAAUAGCUGGAUGGAGCAUUGCCAAAGGGUUCGGGUCAGGGUGGGUUAGACCCUGCUGAAGCCCUUUGCUUCUGUUACUUUUUGACUGUUGAAGUUCAUUUAAGAACUUUUAAAUUCAACAGAAGUCUUAGGAUGUC